rnacentral:rRNA from 1 species
GGGUCAGUAGGUUGGUCGUGCCACCGGUACGUACUGGUCUCACUGAUUCCUCCUUCCUGAGGAACCGUAAUGCCAUUAAUUUGGUGUUGCGGGGAAACAGGACUGUUACUUUGAAAAAAUUAGAGUGUUUAAAGCAAGCUAACGCUUGAAUACAUUAGCAUGGAAUAAUGAAAUAGGACGAUCGAUCCUAUUUUGUUAGUUUCUAGGAUUGACGUA